rnacentral:sRNA from 1 species
CCGGCUGCUUUCUGGGGCCUCACUGAGGUCCUGGUCCCCUAAGUCCUCCCCCGCAGCCCCUCCGCGUAUUAACCCACCGAUCUCGCUGGGCCCAGAGAUUGCUUACUUAGCACAUGGAUUGCUGUCACGUCUAAUGUGGCUGCUGCCUCGUGUCACAUCUGAAACUCAUCUGUACCUCACUUAGAAAGUCGACAGAAACCUAGUGGGACCAUUGAAGAAUUCCAAACAGGUAUUUGCAUAGGAAUCAGAGGAGUUAAUCUUGUCUCUUCUCACAGGUUUGAAUCUUCAGACAAACUUCUGGGAGGACUCGGUCCCUGCCUCGCAGCAGAUGUUCCCUGUCACUCACCAAUCCGGGGGACCCAGGACAUGCCCCAGCUAUAGUGAUGCAGAUUACCUUUCUGCUCCUGAAUCGCACCUGUGCCUCAGACUUUCUCCCCUCAGCUUGAGACUGCAUGUAAACUGGGAUGUGUGAAAGCAGGAAGCAAAGCUAGUGACAGCUGAGAGGUCCAUGUCUGGGUAGAACCAGGCCCACGAUGCCGCCUCUCCCGUGGUCUGGAGU